rnacentral:lncRNA from 1 species
CUGGUCCCUUCCUCCUCUGGUGGCUGCGGCUGUUGCUCCUCCAGUUUCCUGUCAUAAUCACUGCAUGAUGGUGCAUUGACCCGUAUCUGCAUCACAGAACAGUUCCCAUGCCUGGAGAAAUAAUGGAUAGAAGCAGCCAAGACACAAACACUUGAUGCAGCACCCAGAGGACCAAGCUCAGAGGGACGGAAGGUAGCAAGGGACACACCAAACACUGGCUGAGAAUCUGACCAGCUCCUGUCUGCAGUAAGAGGCUGAUGUACUAUUGGUGUGUGCAGGAUGUAAGAUCGCAGGGUCUCGCUCAAAGAUUGGAGUGCAGUGGCAUGAUCUUGGCUUACUACAACCUCUGCCUCCUGGGCUCAAGCAAUCCUCCUACCUCAGCCUCCCAGGUAGCUGGAUCUACAAGCAUGUGCAACCAUGCCUAGAUCAUUUUUGUAUAUAGAGAC